rnacentral:tRNA from 1 species
GGGUGCGUGGUACAGUGGCUUGAACAUUGGACUAUGAUUCUAGAGACCAGGGAUCAAAUCUUUGCUCAGUCA